UGCCAGCAGCCGCGGUAAUACGGAGGGGGCAAGCGUUGUUCGGAAUUACUGGGCGUAAAGCGCACGUAGGCGGACUGGUCAGUUGGGGGUGAAAUCCCGAGGCUUAACCUCGGAACUGCCUUCAAUACUGCCAGUCUUGAGAUCGGAAGAGGUGAGUGGAAUUCCUAGUGUAGAGGUGAAAUUCGUAGAUAUUAGGAAGAACACCAGUGGCGAAGGCGGCCACCUGGACCGGUUCUGACGCUGAGGUGCGAAAGCGUGGGGAGCAAACAGGAUUAGAUA
rnacentral:rRNA from 1 species